CAGACUUCCUGCUAAGACUUUUCUUGUGCUUGUGGAGGAAAAACUGUUGAAGUGCGGCAGGUAAAAUGAGUUUCCACUUCAGGUUCCUGGAACUAAAUGCUGGCGCAGCUCAGGAGGUGAUACUAAAUAAGGAUCGUGAUUGGUCACGCAGAUGUGUCAUCACAUUACAACAAGAGCAACUACAACAAACACAAUGUCUCGAAGAAAUGGUUAUAUAACACGCUGGCACAAACAGUGCAGGGAUCACAAUGCACACAGCGGAGCAAACCAAAAAACUACAAAGUGCACUGGAUGCCUUUGCAAGCCCCAGUAGUGCCCUGCAGUCUCUGUCAUUGUAUACACUCUCAAAUCUUAAAUCUCCCGUUCACAUAAACGUGACAGGAAAUUUCUUCUUCUGUUGUUGUCUGUUCCACAACUGUUUACUUCCCUCACCUAUGGUAUGUCUGAAAUAAAAGAAAUUGGGUACACA